rnacentral:rRNA from 1 species
AACGAACACUGGCGGCGCGCCUAAUACAUGCAAGUCGAGCGAGAAGACGUAGCAAUACGUUUGUAAAGCGGCGAACGGGUGAGGAAUACAUGGGUAACCUACCCUCGAGUGGGGAAUAACUAGCCGAAAGGUUAGCUAAUACCGCGUACGCUCCUUGGACUUCGGUUCAGGGAGGAAAGCGAUACCGUGGGUAUCGCGCUCUUGGAUGGGCUCAUGUCCUAUCAGCUUGUUGGUGAGGUAACGGCUCACCAAGGCUUCGACGGGUAGCUGGUCUGAGAGGACGAUCAGCCACACUGGCACUGCGACACGGGCCAGACUCCUACGGGAGGCAGCAGUAAGGAAUAUUGCGCAAUGGGCGAAAGCCUGACGCAGCGACGCCGCGUGGGGGAUGAAGGUCUUCGGAUUGUAAACCCCUUUCGGG